CGGAAGUAGCUCAGUUGAUAGAGCAUUAGCCUUCCAAGCUGAGGGUCGCGGGUUUGAGUCCCGUCUUCCG
rnacentral:tRNA from 25 species